AACGAACGCUGGCGGCGUGGAUAAGACAUGCAAGUCGAACGGGAUUUGUUUUGUAGCAAUACAAGGCAAGUCCAGUGGCGUAAGGGUGCGUAACACGUGGGGAAUCUGCCGAGAAGUGGGGGAUAGCUCGUCGAAAGGCGAAUUAAUACCGCAUGUGGUUAGUGAAGACAUCUUCACGAUACCAAAGCCGGGGCAACCUGGCGCUUCUUGAUGACCCCGCGGCCUAUCAGCAGUUGGUGAGGUAACGGCUCACCAAGGCUAUGACGGGUAGCUGGUCUGAGAGGACGACCAGCCACACUGGAACUGAGACACGGUCCAGACACCUACGGGUGGCAGCAGUGGGGAAUCUUGCGCAAUGGGCGAAAGCCUGACGCAGCGACGCCGCGUGAGGGAUGACGGCC
rnacentral:rRNA from 1 species